UAUGUCAUUUCACCCUUUCUGAAUGGAGUUUUAAUUGAUGAUAUCCUGUUUUCCCUCCUCGACUGUGUAACAGAAGUAUAGGAGAUCAUUACAUCGACCAUUUAAACUGCAGGUUGUUGGAUCACGAGGAACCAUAUCUGGAAGUCAGAGAUGUGUGCAUCACCCAGAGAUCCUGGACAUAAAGAUGGGUGAAUGAAAAUGGCCACUCCAGCCCCGAUUCAACAAUAGUCUUCAGUUCACAUAUCAACAAUUGUAAGAGGGGCUAGAGCAGACAGAACGCUUAGAGGUUGCAAUGGGCAAGAGAGCGGGAAGGAAAGCGACGACAGAGAGCUGCCAGGGAGUCUAAGAGGCUGCAUCCUUCAGGCGGCGCGAGAAAGGGUCUUCAGCUCCAGAUCAAGAUUCCGAAGAGUUAAAUAUUACUGCGCAGCCCGACCUGGAUGGGAUUUGCUUCUGGGUACAAAACGGGACACUGAUCAAAAUCAACUUGGACAAGUGACAAGACUGAGUCUGAUGAUUGUGGAUGUCUUUUAAGGUCGUUGGAGGGGAGAGGAUGGGAGGCGGUGUGCUCAGGGGUAGGUGGAGGGAAGCAUCAAAUCCAGGGAUAUAAAGGGACACGGAGCCGGGAAACAGAGGACAAAAUGCGUGGGGAAAGAGAGAGAGGAAGAGUUGAAGAAAAGUAAGGGGAAAGUAGGGACAGGGUUAAGGGGAGAGAGGAGGAUAAGAGAGAAGUGAGGGCGGCUAGGAGGGAUUAAAAAGGGAAAGGGGAUCGCCGGAGAGAAGGGCGGACGGCUGGCUCGGGAGGUGGGGAGGCGGCGAGGGGAGCGAGCGGGCGGGGGGCGCAGAGAGCGGCGAGGGGGCUGGAGAGGAG
rnacentral:lncRNA from 1 species